GAUGAACGCUGGCGGCGUGCCUAAUACAUGCAAGUCGAGCGAACAGACGAGGAGCUGGCUCCUGCGACGUUAGCGGCGGACGGGUGAGUAACACGUAGGUAACCUACCUAUAAGACUGGGAUAACUUCGGGAAACCGGAGCUUAUACCGGAGAAUAUUUCGAACCGCAUGGUUCGAUGGUGAAAGAUGGCGUUGCUGUCACUUAUAGAUGGACCUGCGCCGUAUUAGCUAGUUGGUAAGGUAACGGCUUACCAAGGCAAGGAUACGUAGCCGACCUGAGAGGGUGAUCGGCCAGACUGGAACUGAGACACGGUCCAGACUCCUACGGGAGGCAGCAGUAGGGAAGCUUCCGCAAUGGGCGAAAGCCUGCCGGAGCAACGCCGCGUGAGUGAUGAAGGUCUUCGGAUCGUAAAACCCUGUUAUUAGGGAAGAACAAACGUGUAAGUAAAUGUGCACGUCUUGACGGUACCCAAUCAGAAAGCCACGGCUAACUACGUG
rnacentral:rRNA from 1 species